UUUGAAUAAACCCAGUAUGUUAAGAAACAAUGUAAUUGCCUUUCCACUUAAUUUGGAGCCUCACGCCUCGCAACUUUCUAUGAACUAUUACCCUAACCAUCCAGUUUACUACAGAAAAAGCACACGACUCUCGCACAGGAGUUUUCAAAGAUGGUCCCUCCUGACAGUACUCACCUUAAUACUGCUUUUUGAAUCCUCUUUUUUGUGUGUCUAUGUGUUUGUUCUUUGUGCCCAGUUCCCUAGCUGUCUCCUCAUUGAUUGUCUGCCAUCAGAGCUGGUUAAGGGAGAGCUGGGCCUCCGCUCCCAGCUUUACGGAGAUUAAAGAGGCAAAAUUGGCUUUCUCGGUUUACGAGAGCUUGGAUCAAAAAGGUAUGAAGCUGAGCCAGCGGACGUUGCUGAGAGCAUUCAAGAUGUGCGGACGAGCGAUCGCUCCACUGAAGCUCGCACACAGAAUUAAGCACCUGAGGGCUGGCUUUGCUGAAGAAGGACGACUGCAGCUCUAUGAGUUCCUUGACCUUCUGCCCCUCUGUGAGCCCCAGGAUAAUGUUCUCAUCCGGGAUAGCUGGGCUGGGUCGACGGAGAUGAUAAAAGGAAACACGUACAAGGUGAGGACAGAUCCUCCUGCAGUGUAUCUUCAGUCUAGAGAGAUCUGAAGAAAUGAAA
rnacentral:lncRNA from 1 species